ACGGAAGGCAGCAGUGGGGAAUAUUGCACAAUGGGCGAAAGCCUGAUGCAGCGACGCCGCGUGAGUGAAGAAGUAUCUCGGUAUGUAAAGCUCUAUCAGCAGGGAAGAAAAUGACGGUACCUGACUAAGAAGCCCCGGCUAACUACGUGCCAGCAGCCGCGGUAAUACGUAGGGGGCAAGCGUUAUCCGGAUUUACUGGGUGUAAAGGGAGCGUAGACGGUUUGGCAAGUCUGAAGUGAAAUGCGGGGGCUCAAUUCCUGAACUGCUUUGGAAACUGUCGAACUAGAGUGCAGGAGAGGUAAGUGGAAUUCCUAGUGUAGCGGUGAAAUGCGUAGAUAUUAGGAGGAACACCAGUGGCGAAGGCGGCUUACUGGACUGUAACUGACGUUGAGGCUCGAAAGCGUGGGGAGCAAACAGGAUUAGAUACCCUGGUA
rnacentral:rRNA from 1 species